rnacentral:rRNA from 1 species
UACGAAGGGGGCUAGCGUUGCUCGGAAUCACUGGGCGUAAAGCGCACGUAGGCGGAUUGCUAAGUCAGGGGUGAAAUCCUGGAGCUCAACUCCAGAACUGCCUUUGAUACUGGCGACCUUGAGUCCGGGAGAGGUGAGUGGAACUGCGAGUGUAGAGGUGAAAUUCGUAGAUAUUCGCAAGAACACCAGUGGCGAAGGCGGCUCACUGGCCCGGUACUGACGCUGAGGUGCGAAAGCGUGGGGAG